rnacentral:misc_RNA from 1 species
AAGUCGUAACAAGGUUUCCGUAGGUGAACCUGCGGAAGGAUCAUUGAUAAAAGUCUAUUGACUUUAUAUAUAUAACCUUUGUUUAUUUUUUCCCUGUUUCUUCCACUGGACAGGCUACUUAUAUAUUUAGCCAGCCGUCUCUUACAGUAGGUAGUAAAUACCAUACCAAGUUUGAGAGUGCCAGUGGAUAUUUAAACCCCAAAAAAGUAUUAAGUUUUAAAAAACUCUUUGUCUGAAUAUAAUGCAAAUUGAAUAAAACUUUCAACAAUGGAUCUCUAGGCUCUU